CGGUGCUUGCCCAUCGGCUCAGCCGGGGACCGGCGAGCUGCCGCCGAGGUGAUGCUGCGGCCGGAGGAGCCCCGGGCGGGGGAGGCGGAGCUGGCUGCAGAUAGGUCUCCAGAGGCAUAACACCACCUUAUUUCAGCUGAAAAGUUCACCCGGGCUCUGCAGAGAAUGAUGUUUGCUCCAAUUAUACGGAACAGGUUUUAUAAAGUAAAAGAAGAGCUGAAUGGCAGUGACCAUCUUUAGUCCAUGUGAAGCACAACCUUUGGAGUGAACUUAGGUGGCAGUCGCUGGAGAGACGACGGGGGAGCUGCUGAGGCGGAGCCCCCUGCGGCGCGGGGCGAGAAGGCGGUGAGGCGGACAGCGCGCGAGGGGCGCGGCCAUCUUGGCGGCGCGGGGAGGGCGGUGGCGCUGCGCGCGCAGCGGGGCGCCCGGCGGGCGGCGGCCUGCCCUCCGAGACACCCGAGCUGGAUUUCAAGGGUGAAUUGUAUAAUAAUAGAAUCAUAGAAUGGUUAGAGUUGGAAGGGACCUUAAAGAUCA
rnacentral:lncRNA from 1 species